GUGGAGACUCUUGGUGAAUCCAAUAACCUUAAAACUAGAACUAACAGCAUUGGUCCCCCCAUUUAUAUAGAGUACUUGGUAGGACUUUAAGUACAAGGCAAAACACUAGAGUUAGUCAGGAAUUGUCAGUGAGCUUAAGUGUGGAAAAUAUAUUUAUUUCCUUCCAAAUUAAAUGACAUAUUUCAUUCAUAAGGUGAAUAAAUGCUACAAAAAGUAAACAGCAUGUAUAACAUAUAGACUUUACAGCAUCCCAAAAUUCAUCAAUCCUGUUCUCUGGUAUGAACGUGGCAUCAGUACUGCGUCCUGCCACUGUCAAAGGAACCACCUUAUAACCCAAAUAUCCAUUUUGAUGUUACUCCAUUUUUCAGCAUGAUCUUGCAACUUUGGCCACACAUACAGCCACAACCCACAGAGACCAUCUUUGAAAUCAUAAUAGCUGUACAAUUGUGAUCUUUCCUACUUGGCGUAACGGCACUUUGUGGAUCAAGAUAUUUUCUACCCCUUUCCCUUACCAUUCUUAGCAGCCCUCAGCAGUGAAAGCCCAUAUCCCAAUUCAAUGCUGUCUAUUAGCUGAUCACAAGACUAGUCAACUCAUGCCGAGCAGAAAGAGACACAGAGCUUACCGGACACGCAUGUGACAGUCACUGUGCUCACCAGGACCGGUUUGGUCUUGUGAGCAGAACAGAUGCUCAAAGUAACAAAGCUCCAAACCACCAGGCUGAGCAGAGUGCUGUCCCCCAGGGUUUAGCACACAGUACCGAGUCAGUAUGGGACUGAGGUUAAGUCCUGCAGCAGCAAUAGCUGCCAAACCCCACCGUGAGGGAUUCGGGGUGUCACAAGCAGAGCGAGCAGCAAAAAGUGGGGGGCAGAGCCCGGCGGGGAGCUGUGAAAGGCCUCAACUUGGAUUCAAGUCCCUGACCAUCAAGAGAGGACGUUGUUGCAGGAAGGUGACAUGCUUGACAUGCCAGGUCACAUGGGAAGAGCACAUGAUGCAUCCUGUGUGUCACACAGCAACAGGAAUGGCUGAGUGGCUGCUCUGUUUCACAGUAAGCAGUGAAAGCGUCCUUACCAAGGCUGUUGCCGAGAAAUUGCAUAUUGGAAGCUUCUUGAUGGCUGUUCUGAAAAGCUGGUGAGGUGUGUGUUUCAGUCGCUUGUCAGCUAAAGCCCAUCAAUACUCCACUGGACCAUAUUCUGAAGCUACAAAACCCUACAAACGUACAAUUACUCCUAUACAAACUAAAAUGGCUUUUAAUAUGCUCAGACAAGGCAGCUCUGCACUGAGCCAAAGCACUCACCUUCUGGUGGACUGAACAUGUUUAAGCUUCUGUUUUCUUCAGAGUGUCAAAUACAGAUUUGGAGGUAAAAUAAAGAGUGAGAAAAUUAAACA
rnacentral:lncRNA from 1 species